UGGGGAAUUUUGGACAAUGGGCGAAAGCCUGAUCCAGCAAUGCCGCGUGUGUGAAGAAGGCCUUCGGGUUGUAAAGCACUUUUGUCCGGAAAGAAAUCCUUGGCUCUAAUACAGUCGGGGGAUGACGGUACCGGAAGAAUAAGCACCGGCUAACUACGUGCCAGCAGCCGCGGUAAUACGUAGGGUGCAAGCGUUAAUCGGAAUUACUGGGCGUAAAGCGUGCGCAGGCGGUUUGCUAAGACCGAUGUGAAAUCCCCGGGCUCAACCUGGGAACUGCAUUGGUGACUGGCAGGCUAGAGUAUGGCAGAGGGGGGUAGAAUUCCACGUGUAGCAGUGGAAUGCGUAGAGAUGUGGAGGAAUACCGAUGGCGAAGGCAGCCCCCUGGGCCAAUACUGACGCUCAUGCACGAAAGCGUGGGGAGCAAACAGGAUUAGAUACCCUGGUAGUCCACGCCCUAAACGAUGUCAACUAGUUGUUGGGGAUUCAUUUCCUUAGUAACGUA
rnacentral:rRNA from 1 species